ensembl:snRNA U6 U6 spliceosomal RNA
GUGCUUGCUUUGGCUGUACAUAUACUAAAAUUGGAAGGAUACAGAGAAUAUUAGCAUGGCCCCUCUACAAGGAUGGCAUGCAGAUUCAUAAAGCCUUAACAUUUUUUU